rnacentral:rRNA from 1 species
GACGAACGCUGGCGGCGUGCUUAACACAUGCAAGUCGAACGGUGAAGCGCCUUCCUUUUUGGUGGGUGUGGAUGAGAGGCGAACGGGAGAGUAACACGUGAGUAACCUGCCCUCUUCUUCUGGAUAACCGCAUGAAAGUGUGGCUAAUACGGGAUAUUCUGGGUCUGGCGCAUGAUGGGUCAGGGAAGGAUAUUGUUUAGGUGGUGGAUGGGCUCGGGGCCUAUCAGGUUGUUGGGGGGGUGAUGGCCUACGAAGGCGGUGACGGGUAGCCGGCCUGGCAGGGUGGACGGUCAGACUGGGAGUGAGACACGGUCGAGACUCCUACGGGAGGCAGCAUUGGACAAGAUGGCACAGUGGGGACAAGUCUGAUGCGGCGGCGCGGCGUGAGGGAUGGAGGCCUGCGCGUUGUGAACCUCUUUCGGCUGUGAAGCAGGCCUGCCUCGUAUGUGGGUUGAUUGACGGUAGCUGGAAAAGAAGCACCGGCUAACUACGUG